UACAGAGGGUGCGAGCGUUAAUCGGAAUUACUGGGCGUAAAGCGUGCGUAGACGGUCGUGCAAGUCGGGUGUGAAAGCCCCAGGCUCAACCUGGGAAUUGCAUUCGAGACUGCUCGGCUAUGGUGCGGAAGAGGGAAGCGGAAUUUCCGGUGUAGCGGUGAAAUGCGUAGAUAUCGGAAGGAACACCAGUGGCGAAAGCGGCUUCCUGGUCCGACCCCGACGUUCAGGCAAGAAAGCGUGGGGAGCAAACAGG
rnacentral:rRNA from 1 species